ACGGUACCGAUGAGCCAAGCUUGCUUGGAACAUCGGGAGAGUGGCAAACGGGUGAGUAACACGUAAGUAACCUGCCCCCAAGUAGGGAAUAACCCCGAGAAAUCGGAGCUAAUACCGUAUGUGGUGGUGGAGGUAAGGCUUCAUCACUAAAGCCUUAGGGCGCUUGGGGAGGGGCUUGUGUCCGAUUAGCUAGUUGGUAGGGUAACGGUUUACCAAGGCGAUGAUCGGUAGCUGGUCUGAGAGGACGAUCAGCCACACUGGGACUGAGAUACGGCCCAGACUCCUACGGGAGGCAGCAGCAAGGAAUUUUGUGCAAUGGGCGAAAGCCUGACACAGCGACACCGCGUGAGGGAUGAAGGCCUUCGGGUUGUAAACCUCUUUUCUCAGGGAAGAAUAAUGACGGUACCUGAGGAAUAAGUCUCGGCUAACUACGUGCCAGCAGCCGCGGUAAUACGUAGGAGGCGAGCGUUAUCCGGAUUUACUGGGCGUAAAGAGGGCGUAGGCGGCUUUUCAAGUCGGGUGUGAAAUCUCCCCGCUUAAUGGGGAGGGGUCAUUCGAUACUGUUAAGCUAGAGGGCAGCAGAGGGAGGUGGAAUUCCCGGUGGAGUGGUGAAAUGCGUAGAUAUCGGGAGGAACACCAGUGGCGAAGGCGGCCUCCUGGGCUGUUUCUGACGUUGAGGCCCGAAAGCGUGGGGAGCGAACAGGAUUAGAUACCCUGGUAGUCCACGCUGUUAACGAUGGACACUAGGUAUAGGGAGUAUCGACCCUCUCUGUGCCGAAGCUAACGCGUUAAGUGUCCCGCCUGGGGACUACGGCCGCAAGGCUAAAACUC
rnacentral:rRNA from 1 species